CUCAUUUGGGGAAAAAGAAGAAAAAAGGAGGCUAGAGGAGAAAGAGGAGAAGAGAAGAGGAUUUGGGGAGAAACUAGAAGAUUGAAGGAGAUUGAUUCAAGGUUCUGGAGUUAGUAGUUCGCGUGUGAUCUUAGUCGGAGUUUCUUCUGAGUUUUUGGAGAUUAGGUAGUAAGUCGAUGCUCUGGUCAUGUAACACUGGGUAGACUAGUUAUUUGAACUCAUGUUUCUAUUCGGUUAUGCAUUACGCUUGAUUUGAGAACCUGUUAUGUUAUUACUUGUUGUUUGAUAGGCUCUUAAGCCAAAUAUUCCGAAUUAUGUUUUAAUUUAUGUUGAUAUGAUUAUUGAGACUUGAUCAUGGUAUGGGACAUGGAUCAUUUUAUGAAA